UUCACGGAAGAUGUAAUAAAGAUGAAGCUGAUUUAAGGUGUAGGUAAAGUGGGCUCAUUGCUCUCAAGGGUUAAAUAUCUACCUCAGGUGGGAGCUCUGCUGCAGUUUCUAGCUGAGAAAAUGGUUUGGAAAUGAAAGCCCUUCUACUGUGUAAAUGCUCACAGGUACUGUCCUGAAUAUUUGGAUAUAGUUUUGUCUUUGCACUUGAAUAUUUCAGAAAUAAUGAUGCCCAAGCUGAGAUACAAUGCAAUAUCUGCAGGUAACUUCACUUCUUACCCUGUGUUGAAGACCUCGGGGUCUGGUUGAGGUGGAACAGACUAUUCUGGCUCUGCUGGCAACACCCUCAAGCAGGCAGGAUUCAUCCCAGGAGAGAGUGGUGCACAGCAGUCAACAGCUCUGGCAGUGCUGCAGCUGAAUAAGCAUGAGCCUGGGGUGCUUCCUAACCUGAGGCUUCAACAAAGCAGAGCUUGCCACUACUCACAGCAGAAUUUCUGUCACCGGCAGAAGUUAUUAUAUUCACACAGGGAAAGACAUUAGCUUAAAGGUUGGUGUUUUUGUUUGUUUGCAAGUCAAGGGUGGAAAUUUUCAAAGCAGCACAACGGACCAAAUUAACUGUCUCCCAUUAAUGGAAUGUGAAGUUGCUGAAAGCAGCUGAAGUACUGAGACAGUUGGGAAAUCUGCAGUCCAUUGGCUGCACUAACGCUGAGAAACAUCUGCACCGCCGGUCCUCUCUGUCCUGCUGGCUGCUCUUAAUAAUUUAGAGCAGAGCUAACAUUAGGAACCCUUGUUUUUUUUAUGUGCGUUGCUUUUUCUUUCUCUUACACGAGCAUUUUGCCAGUGAUUUGUACAGACAUGUUAAUGGUUCAGGGUGAAUUUUAGAAUGCAAGAUAUCCUUUUGGUGAUUUUUCAGAUACUAGCGAUGCUUUGUGAAGAUUACAAAAUAGUCUUGCUAUUUCAUCAGUCAGUCUAAAAUGCUCCUUGUGAUUACAUCGAAUGCAGAUGAAACGUUUUCUCAAGCAGUUCAAGAUAUUGAAAAGUGCAAUGUAUUUGUGCAUUAAACAUAAAGUACUGAGAAGUGCAGUG
rnacentral:lncRNA from 1 species